GGGACGGCCGUGGGCGCCCGGCCCGCCCGGCGGCCCAGUUCCUGGUUGCGCGGGCGGGCGGCGAUGGCGCGGCGGGCGGGCGGCUGGCGGCGGCUCUGCCUGCUCUGGUGCCUUCUGCGGCUGGCGGCGGCGCGGCGGCCGCCCCCGCACCUGGUGGUGGUGCUGGCCGACGACCUGGGCUGGGGCGACGUGGGCUGGCACGGCUCGGCCAUCCGCACGCCGCGGCUGGACGCGCUGGGGGCGGGCGGCGUGCGGCUGGAGCGGUACUACACGCAGCCGCUGUGCACGCCGUCCCGCAGCCAGCUCCUCAGCGGCCGCUACCAGAUCCACACAGGUUUACAACACCAAAUAAUUUGGCCCUGCCAACCCAGCUGUCUCCCCCUGGAUGAGAAACUCCUCCCAGAGCUACUUAAAGAGGCAGGAUAUGUUACUCACAUGGUGGGGAAGUGGCAUUUAGGGAUGUACAGAAAAGAAUGCCUUCCAACCCGGAGAGGAUUUGAUACUUACUUUGGCUAUCUUCUGGGAAGUGAGGAUUACUACUCUCAUGACCGUUGUGUGCUCAUCAAAGCAAAGAAUGUAACACGCUGCGCUCUGGACUUUCGAGAUGGAGAAGAAGUUGUAACUAGAUUUAAAAACAUGUACUCCACUAAUUUAUUCACAGAAAGAGCUAUAGAUCUGAUAGCCAAUCAUAAAACUGAGAAGCCCCUCUUUCUCUACCUCGCUUUUCAGUCUGUCCAUGAACCUCUUGAGGUCCCUGAGGAAUACAUGAAACCAUAUUCCUCCAUUAAGGAUGAAAAGAGGCGCCAUUAUUCAGGAAUGGUGACGCUUAUGGAUGAAGCUGUAGGAAACCUUACUGAUGCUCUGAAAAAAUACAAUCUUUGGGAUAACACAGUUCUUGUUUUCUCUACUGAUAAUGGAGGACAGACUUUGUCAGGUGGAAAUAACUGGCCGCUGAGAGGAAGAAAGUGGACCCUUUGGGAAGGAGGAGUGAGAGGAGUAGGGUUUGUUGCAAGUCCUUUACUGAAACAAAAAGGUGUAGAAAGUCACGAACUUAUCCAUAUCUCUGACUGGCUGCCAACGCUGGUGCACCUUGCUGGAGGACACACCAAUGGCACUAAGCCUCUGGAUGGCUUUGAUGUUUGGAAAACUAUCAGUGAAGGAAGACCAUCUCCCAGAGUCGAACUGCUUCAUAACAUAGACCCCAUGUUUGUGGAUGAUUUCCCAUGUCUUGGCAUUGACAACAGGACAUCUUUAUUGCAGAACAGUUCUUUUAUGUGGGAUGAUACACUUUUCAAUAUCUCCAUGCAUGCAGCAAUUCGACAUGGAAAAUGGAAGUUACUAACUGGAUAUCCAGGAUGCAGUCACUGGUUCCCUCCACCUUUGUUCAGUGAGUCAGUGAUUCAGUCGUCUGAUCCACCAACAAAGAGACUUUGGCUUUUUGAUGUUGUUCAUGAUCCUGAGGAGAAAAAUGAGUUGUCUGAAAGAUAUCCUAAUGUGGUGAAAAAACUGCUCUCACGACUUCAGUAUUAUUAUAAACGUUCAGUGCCUGUGUUCUACCCUGAUGAGGAUCCCCGCUGUGAUCCAGCAGCAGCUGGGGCCUGGGGUCCUUGGGCAUAGUGCACAGCAUCGCACCCUGCAAAACUCACCUGUAGUGGAGUUGGAUUUGUAGUCUCAGGGUCCUAGUCAUAUAUUUCUUACCUUGUUUUUUACAGUAUUGCUAAUCGUGAGUUCAUUCCGUGAGUAAUUCAGUCUUUCUUACCCUUAAAAUGUGGUGGGAAUCUUAUUUCAGUCCUCCCCACUCUCUCCUUCUCAACAAUUAUACAUGAAAUGUUGAUAAAAUUAGAAAUCUGUUGUUUGAAUAUUCUUUGUCAAUAAUGUGCCUUUAAAGUAGGAUGUUGCUUCCCUCCCUGAAAGAGAUUACUUCUGUUAAAAAGCUGCUAUGAGUCAUGGAAGCAGAAUGAUUCAUAAUUCUGUUGUGGAAGAAACUGAUGUUUCAUUUCAUGCUUGCCCAGAAGACAAAUUCUAUCAGAAGCUGUUACAUAUUUGUAAAGAAUUGAAGAAAUACAGCAGUUGACAUAAUUUUUACCUUUCACGUGCACUUCUGUCCAGAAAAGAGAACAGUCAGAAAUCUCCAAGAAUAAAAAAACCCUUUCAGUAUACAGCAAAAUACCUUAUUCCAGUUCAGUGCUAACAUAUGAAAUUGGGGUAGAGAGAGGUGGUUGACUUGAGGACAGGGCUGCCACGCAGAGGGACAUUAACACACCGGAGAAGUGGAUGAACAAAAACUUUAUGAAGUUCAACAAGGGCAGAGUCCUGCACUUGGGAUGGCAAAACACCACACAACAGUAUAGGCUGGGCUCUGACUGGAUAGACAGCGUUGCCUUGGGAAAGAACCUGGAGUGCUGUUGGACAACAAAUUGAACAAGAAUCACCAUAUGCCCUAGUGGUGAAGAAGGCCAAGGACAUAUUGGUCCAUAUUAGCAAGAGUGUAGCCAGCACAUGGAGGGAAGUGAUUAUUCCCCUCUAUUCAGCAUUGGAGCGCUGCAUCACAUUUUGGGCUUCCUUAUACAGGAAAGAGAUUGAUAUGCUGGAGUGAGUCUAGCAGAGGGCCACAGAAAUGAGCACAUGACAAAUGAGGGGUGGCUAAAGAACUGGGUUAGUUUAGCCUGGGAAAGAAAAGAUAAAGGGGAGAUUGUUAUCUUCAGUGAGCCAGAGGAAGGGCAUAGAGAAGAUGAAGCCAGACUCAGAGGUGUGCAAAGAGAAGACAAGAGGCAACAGACACAAGCUUCAACAGACACAAGUUGCAACACAGGGAGUUCCAAUUAGAUAUAAGGAAAAAAAAUCUCACCAUGAGAAUGGUCAAAUACUGGAACAGGUUGCCCAGUGAGGUUGUUGUAUCCCUAUCCUUGGAGAUGUUCAGAACUUGGUCGGAAAAGAUUCUGAGUAACCUAAUCUUAACUCUGAAGUUGGAUCUAAUUUGCAGAUUGGCCCUGCUUUAGUGGUGGUUGGUGGAACAACCAGAUGGACCUCCAAAGGGCCCUUUCAGCCUGCAUUAUUCAUUGAUUCUAUGAUGAACAAAGCCUUACUCUCACUUAUUGUCCACCUUUCUGGUGAGUACCCUUUCUGCUCAGAUUGGUUUUUUAUUAUCACAGUAGCAACUGUUUUCAUCUUGAAGUGGGCUGUGAGCCAAGGGGAAACUAGGCCAAACAACUUUACUUGGUUACUCACCAAAUUGAUGUGAGAAGAUCAACCCACCAGCUCUCUUAACUUUGUAAACCUCUGGAGUCUGGCCAGAAUUCUGUUGGUGCUUUUCAGCAUCCUUUGCCAAAUUCUCAGGCUGCAGAACUCUAGCUGUCAUCCUCUCCAGAAAGUAGGAACCUAACUGCAUGUUUUCAGAAUCCAGGACCAAGUCCUGUGAUUUGCACUAAAGUUUUGCACACCUUUUCCCAGUUUUCCUUCAGGAGACAUCUGCUAAUUGUUAGCAAACAGACUUAUGAAGAGACUGUCACACUUGACAAAAUUUUCUUUCUUUCUUUUUUUUUUUAAACUACAAAGAUAAAGCAUAGGAAAGAUGGAACUUCAGGAAAUCAAAAACAUGUAUUAAAAUAAACAAAAAUUCCUGCCUUCUGCUACAGCUGAUUCUCCAUUACACUGUUUUAAACCUAACUUGCCUUUCCCACCUCCGAUGUGUACCUACAUAUACAGGAAGGGGAGCCAAAGUUCUUCAAAAGCUUGUUCAGCUGUUUGUCUUUUUCCCAAGGAGUGUCAUGUUUUCCCUUCUCCUUUGUCACUUCUGCCUCUUUAUCUCAGUAUUUUCCCAUUCUGUUUCCUUUGCUGUCUUCAGCCUUGAAGGUGAAUAGGAAAGAAGGAUGGAUUGGGAGAGAAUAAUUCUCCUAUAUUGGGCAAACAUAUAUUCUCCAUGGUUUAGUCUGAUAUGUCUUGGAAGCCUGCAUCAGACCAAGGUUCAAUCCAUCUCCAUCAGUGAUUGAAAGCACACAGCUGCACAGGAGUAAAGGGCAAGCAUAUGUGAUAAGUUCUCCAGAUUGUCUUUAAUAUUCUAACUUUGGCUCAGAGAAGAACUGAACCUCAGACAUUUAACUUCUAUGUAUUUAAUAGCCCUCAGUGUAAACUCUUAGUAUUUACACAAUCUUCUUCCACAGUUAGGAGUUCCACAGCCUAAAUACACAAUGUGUGAAGAGUCACCUCUGUUUAUGAUAUGCUUCUGGGCAAUUUGAGUUUUCACUGGUAAAAUACAUAUGGUGUGACAGAAGUCCCUACUAUACCAUGUUUAGCAACUUUCAUAUUAAACAGUAUCUUUAUAAUAAAAAACAAUUUAUAUGUUCUGUAGAGGUAGUCUCCAAAUAGGUACUGUACAUGACCAUCUCUCCUUCCAUUUCACAGAACUGUUUUCAACUUUUCUUUCUAUUUUGGCUUCACAGCACAACAGCAUUUCACUCUCAAGCUUCAAGAGAUUCUUUAAGAUAACUUUCUGAGACAAACUGUUAUCUGCUGACCACAGGAAGGGAUCAAAAAUGUACUGUUUUUAUCAUGCUGUUAUCCAAUUUCGUGGAAUAGAAGAAAAAGGUAUCAGCUAACUUGCAAAAACCCAGAUAAUUCAUGUUCUUCCAUCAAUGUCAACUCCUUGGCUAAAGUUAGAAAGGAUCAAAGAACUUCUAAUUUUAAUUUCAAAAACAUCUCCUGUUUAAGCCGUCUGAACAACUUCUGAGGUUACACGUUGUUCUUCAUAAUAAUGUAAAAUUGGCAAGCUUGUUUGCAAAUUUUAAGUAAAAAGUUGCUGACUUUUCCAAAUUUACUCAGUGUAUGCUACUUGCAAACAUUUCUAAAACUUAGGCCUGCUGUCUUAAAUUUAGUGUUGUAUGCUGCACUGCACAGUGAAACUGUCUCACUUCAAAGGCUUUUGACUUUUUAAAGUAUCGUAUAUAAACUUCUCUGUAUAUCUUAUAUUACUCUUUCUGUUCAAAUUCAGAACACAUGGCUAUGUCCCAAGGAAGCUAAUAUUGUAAUAUGCUGUAGUUUGCCCAGUUACAAGGAAAUUGCUACAUUGUUGUAACUGUUAGUACUUGAUUGUGAUUAGGGAUUGACAGAAUAAAAGUCUCCUGGUGUGAGUCAGUGCUGGAGUCAAUAAACAGACUACAUGAAAAAUUCAGCAUGUAAAUUUAAAAGACAUUUUCCUGAUUAACUUACAAAUCUUUUCUGCUAGGAAGAUCCAUUUCUUCCCAGUCAUAUAGACUGUAUUUGAUCCUUCACAUUAAAAGAUCAUCCCGCAAUUAACGUCAGUGUGUACUGUGCGUAUCUUUCAUUCUUUGGAACAGACAUGCUGUUAUGUGCCCCUGGGCUGCUUAGGACAUCUGAAUCUCUUUAAUCUGACACAUGUCAGAUUAGUACUGUAGUGAGGCCAUAAACAUGAACAUGACUUAGUCCCACAGAAUGUGAAGGAUGAGUUAAUGGUAUCGUAGGCCUUUUCUUCAAGAGAGUUGCUCUAAACUGUGACAUUAUUAUUUUCAAUUAAUACUUGAUGGGCGUUGCAGGUACUUAACUGCUUGAACUGUCUCAGUGUUAUUUUUUUAAUUAGUUUAGCAGCUAAAACUGUCUCAGUGUUAUUUUUUAAAUUAAUUUGUAACUCUAUCAUAAGGUAUUGCAUUCUAUCUGCUCUCUGAAAAAACAAAAUACAUUCUCUUAAGGCCUUCUCUAAGAAGUCCUUAAGGCCUUCUCUAAGAAAGCCUAUACAAUAUGUCCCCCAAAAGGUUAAUUUUUUGAAUCUCAAAUAUAAUGGAAUAGUUUGCGGCAAGGUCCAAGCAUCUGGAAAAAUAAUUGCUUCUCAGGAAGCUUAAAUUUAAACACAGAACAGCCCUUUUGGGGGUUUUUGGUUUAUUUUCAGAGUUCUGGUUUAACCAAAAUAUAUAGUGUUGGCCAAAGCCCUAAGUUGUAUGCCUUCCAAUUUAGUUUCACAGUCAAUAAGCUUCAAAACAUCAAGUAAAUGCUUCUGAGAGAAAAACAGAGAUCAAAGUGAAAGUGUGAUUCAAGAGAGUGUAUCUGUUUAUCUUUAACUGAGAAUUUCACACUUCUACACUGUCUGGAAAUGAAGAGCUAACAGAUCUAGCCUGUUACGUAAUUUCAUUUUGGAGCUAGAUGGGAGUAUUGCAGAUACUCUUCAGAGUUCCCAUAUUCAGACGUAAGGAGGGUUCCAAGAGAGUUGUGAUUAGAGCAGCAAAAGCAGGUAAAGUGAAACUAGAGCCACAUGAGACAAGAAAGGGCAAGAUUUCAGAAAUACCAUAAGGCACUGUGUUACAGAUGGCUGGCAAAUAAGGAAGGUACUAGUUGAGACUUCUAGUUAGAAGACAUCAUUAGAUCCUCUGUAAAAACAAUUUUAGUGGGGGUGUGGAAACUGUGAUUGAGAUACAUCUCAUCUACAGUAGAAAACAAAGAAGGCAAUUCAACAAAAAGCAAUUGGCAUUAUCGUUUUUUCUCCUUUUUCAUCCUGUCAAUGCCAUAGUCAGCGUGUACAAUCCUGAACAUCCAGACAGGUAUAAAAUAUGCCAGGAACUUCCCAUCUUUGAAUGUAGAGCUGGAUAUUAGAUCAAAAGCAGCACAAACUGCCAGUGGGAGUAACCAGUCCCUCUGACUGGAUUUGUGUUGCCCUGCAUCUCACUGGUACUCCAGCUGGAGCUCAGAAUGACUUAGUGUGAUCAUACUUCAGUCCCUCCCUAGGCAGAAUUGCCCAUGCCCAUUUUAAUUCUGAGAAAUGUUUAAGACACUUAUUCUAGAGCUGGGGUUAUGGGGCAAGAAGCCCUUUUUGCUGAAUUUCUUUUUGGGUAAAUCUUCCCAAUUAUCAUACAGUUUCUUCAGGUCUUAAAUUACUUUGAAAACCUUCAGUGUGUUAGAGUUAUAAUCUUUGAGGUUUUCCCAUCUCUAAUGGUGCUAGCACUGAUGAAUGAAUAAAUGUAAAAUAAUUUUGAGAUAUAUAAUUCCUAGAAAUAGCACUAGAGUAUUUCCUUUAAUAAUUUGUAAUACAGCCAGUAGAACUGAAGGACAUUUUGGACAGAGUCCUAGAAAAUGCCUCAUUUGUGAUAAAUAAGCUAGCAGUUGAAGAACAUAUCAGAGUUUCUUUUUUCAACUGGAUAUAUGAGUUGAUAGAGUAGUUUCAGAUACUAUUUGCAUAGUGUCCUGCUCAAGAUCAUUAAAUCAUUUAGCUCUGCAUGUUUUCUCUUAGCACUCCUUAGGAUGUGAAAAGAUAUUUUAAGACAUUAGAAGAGAAAUACAUUAGCAUAGCUGGGUACUAAUAUGGGAAUAUCAAUAGAUGAAUGUCAUAUUUAAAACUCAACCUCUUAAAUUAUUUAUUCCUAAUGGAUGUCCUAGUUUGUUCAGUAAAAAGGACACUGCUAAUUUAAUUUCCCAUGAAUUACCACCUCAGAGUGCACUUAAAAAUACUCUCUGUCCUAAAGCCCCAAAUUAUGGGAAAGGAGAUAAAACAGCUGUUACUGCUGUUGUGUCAGGCAAUAUAUAUUUGGCUAGACAGCUUUUCUUCAUACUACUUGCAAUAAUAUGUGUUUCAAAAAUACAGAUUAGACACAGCGAUAAAUCUGGAUCCCUUCAGUGAGCCUGAGUGUCUGCAUUCAGUUACAGCCUUCUUAAAAUACAGUGGUGGAUUCCUGCUGGUACCGUACUGGCUGAGUCCCAAAUGAGUUAACAAUUACUCUCCCAAAAACACUGAGCUUGGUUCAGAGCUGGAAUGCGAGGCAUAGAUACUAUUCCUUAGAAUAUUCACUAGGGUCAAUAGAUACCUUGUAAAACCCUCUGAAGGCCUUUUCUUCUCACGAUUCCUUCUUUUUAAAGAUCUCUGAUUGUGAGACACUCCAUUUUAAAUGACAUUAUUUCUUCAAUUUGUUUUUAUUUUAAUGAACGCAUGCUGCUGCCUUGCAUACUCUGCAGGUCUGGAAGAGCAUUCUCUUCAUCACUUUGUCAGGGAAGUUCUAAACAGCUCUGUCAUUUGUCCCGUUUAUACUUGUUUCUAGUAUCAAAAUAAUCUCCAAACAAAUUAAACUAACUUUCCUGAAGUGAGGGUGUUCAGAAUUACCUGAAGUGAGGGUGUUCAGAAUUACCUUAGACUUCCUUCUCCUGUAUAGACUAAAAUCUCAGAUUAUUUUUCUGGAAGUUUUGGAGGUAAGCCAUCAAUUCGAACUCAGCCCAGUUAAAGACAGCUUGCAGUUUUUUCUUUCAAACCUUCUUUCCAUCUCCUUUCUCACUGUAGACAACAUCUCACUGUUUCUGCCACUCAGAACUGAUCUCCCCUUGGGUCCUCACAUGCAGACAGUUUAUAUAUUGUACAUUCAUUCUAUGUAGUAUCUUUAAAAUAGCAUGUUCUCUAGCUAUCCAUGUCUAAAACUCUCAUAGAAACAUUAUUUUAUGUCUUAAUUAUAAAUUCAUCUUCUAUGAACUUGACACAUUCAAUAUGAUACUGCUGUUAUCCACUCAGGAUGCUCUUGCACUCUUUCUUUAUUAACUUCAACAUAAGAUGCUAAUUUUGAAUGUCCUUUUUAGCUUAACCACAGGCUCUUCUCAUCUCUCAUUUGGUACCAAAAUGUCCUUUAUAUUACAGGCAAUUUAUGAUGACAGAUUCUAGUGCCAUUUUUCUUGCACUGAUACUUUUGUAAAAAGUGCUGAUCAGUAACUGUAAUUGAUACUUCGGUCUCAUUAUCUUUCUGCUUGUCUGAAUCUAGACACUGGGUUUUUUUGUCUCAUUUGUUUAGAGGGUAUGAUUUUUCUGGCCAAGAGGCCAUCGUUUCAGUCUACGUUUAUAGUACGGUGCGAGUCUGAUCCAUGACCAAGAUUUCUACAAGCCAUGAUUAAAGUUGCAGUAGAUGGGUUUCCCAGACUUAGAUUUUUUUGAAUGUCCUUUUUUUUAUUUUUUGUCCCUACUGUCACUGGCUAUCGAGCAGAUGGAUCAGAUUGUUUUCUGUAACAUUACAUGCUGGUUGACAGUAGAGUAAUGAACUACUGAAAAAUCAAAUGUCAUAGCUAAGUGCUUACAGGAACCAAGAAUUCUGAAGCUGUAAACAAAAAUAUGCAUUACUUGAAAAAGAUACACUUUCUUCAAGAACUAUCUUGGUUGAUGUUUUACAUCUUACUUUUCUUCAGGGGGGAAAAACAAAGAAAGCACAAGAAAUAACACCCAUUCCCUCACUCAGUUCCCUCCAACUUCUCAACUCUUCCAGACUUGAGUCAUCUCUUUUGUAUGUUUUUCACCAUUUUUUGUCUUUUUUUCUCCUCUCUUCCCAUUUUUCUUUGGAGUUCUCAGGAUGAGUUCCAAUUCUAAUAUUGUUUUUCCAGCCACUGAUCAUUAUGGUUCCUUGACAAAAUUCUUUCUUCUUUCCUUCUUUCCUACAACAGCCAGUUAAAAAAAAAAAAAAAAAAACAGAAAA